rnacentral:rRNA from 1 species
CCUACGGGGGGCUGCAGUGGGGAAUUUUGGACAAUGGACGCAAGUCUGAUCCAGCCAUGCCGCGUGCGGGAAGAAGGCCUUCGGGUUGUAAACCGCUUUGCGAGAAUCGCCGGUACCUGAAGAAUAAGCACCGGCUAACUACGUGCCAGCAGCCGCGGUAAUACGAAGGGUGCAAGCGUUAAUCGGAAUUACUGGGCGUAAAGCGUGCGCAGGCGGUUCUAUAAGACAGAUGUGAAAUCCCCGGGCUCAACCUGGGAACUGCAUUUGAGACUGUAAAGCUGGAGUGCGGCAGAGGGGGAUGGAAUUCCGCGUGUAGCAGUGAAAUGCGUAGAUAUGCGGAGGAACACCGAUGGCGAAGGCAAUCACCUGGGCCUGACUGACGCUCAUGCACGAAAGCGUGGGGAGCAAACAGGAUUAGAUACCCUUGUAGUC